rnacentral:rRNA from 1 species
UACGUAGGGUGCAAGCGUUGUCCGGAAUUAUUGGGCGUAAAGAGCUCGUAGGCGGUCUGUCGCGUCUGCUGUGAAAAUCCAGGGCUCAACCCUGGACCUGCAGUGGGUACGGGCAGACUAGAGUGCGGUAGGAGAGAUCGGAAUUCCUGGUGUAGCGGUGAAAUGCGUAGAUAUCUGGAGGAACACCGGUGGCGAAGGCGGCACCCUGGACCAACACUGACACUGAGGAGCGAAAGCCAGGGGAGCAAACGGG